rnacentral:rRNA from 1 species
AGAGUUUGAUCAUGGCUCAGGAUGAACGCUAGCUACAGGCCUAACACAUGCAAGUCGAGGGCAGCAUGGUCUUAGCUGCUAAGGCCGAUGGCGACCGGCGCACGGGUGAGUAACGCGUAUCCAACCUGCCUUACACUCUUGGACAGCCUUCUGAAAGGGAGAUUAAUACCAAGAUGUUAUCAUGAGUAAGCAUUUUCGCAUGAUUAAAGGUUUACCGGUGUAAGAUGGGGAUGCGUUCCAUUAGAUAGUAGGCGGGGUAACGGCCCACCUAGUCUUCGAUGGAUAGGGGUUCUGAGAGGAAGGUCCCCCACAUUGGAACUGAGACACGGUCCAAACUCCUACGGGAGGCAGCA